ACCCGCUGAACUUAAGCAUAUCAAUAAGCGGAGGAAAAGAAACCAACCGGGAUUGCCCUAGUAACGGCGAGUGAAGCGGCAACAGCUCAAAUUUGAAAUCGGGCAUUUAUGCUUGAGUUGUAAUUUGCAGAGGGAGCUUUGGUUCUGGCAGCGGUCUAAGUUCCUUGGAACAGGACGUCACAGAGGGUGAGAAUCCCGUAUGUGGUCGCUGGCCUUUACCGUGUAAAGCCCCUUCGAUGAGUCGAGUUGUUUGGGAAUGCAGCUCAAAAUGGGAGGUAUAUUUCUUCUAAAGCUAAAUAUUGGCCAGAGACCGAUAGCGCACAAGUAGAGUGAUCGAAAGAUGAAAAGCACUUUGGAAAGAGAGUUAAACAGUACGUGAAAUUGUUGAAAGGGAAGCGCUUGCAACCAGACUUGCACGCAGUUGAUCAUCCGGUGUUCUCACCGGGGCACUCUGCUGCGUUCAGGCCAGCAUCGGUUUUGGUGGUUGGAUAAAGGCCUUGGGAAUGUAGCUUCUUUCGGGGAGUGUUAUAGCCCUCGGUGCAAUGCAGCCUACCGGGACCGAGGACCGCGCUUCGGCUAGGAUGCUGGCGUAAUGGUUGU
rnacentral:rRNA from 1 species